CCCUUGUGCCAGUGGGAGCAUGUGACGACGGCGCCCACUCUCAAAAUAAAAAAUCGAUGUCUACAACUACCUUGAAGGCACUAAACUGCUUGGCGCUUAUCUGCACGAAGUGGGAAAAUUGUAAACAAGCAGACAAUCUAUAUACCGCCU